GGGGCUGUGGUGUAACUGGCAGCAUGACGGACUUCGGGCACCGACGCACGAUGCGGUGGUCGUCGUGUAGGUGAGGGUUCAACUCCCUUCGGCCCCA
rnacentral:tRNA from 1 species